GAAAAACCGGACCCGCCGGGCUCAGUCUGCGCUCUGGGUUGGUGCCCUCUGGUUGUGGCAGAUGCCGAAGAAAGAAGAGGGGGAUAUGGACAGAGGAGAGACACAGAGAAGACGGCCAUGUGAAGACGGAGGCAGAGCUUGGAGCCAUGCAGCUACAAGGCAAAGAACACCAAGGAGUGCCGGCAGCCACCCGAAGCUGGAAGAGGCAAGGAACGAUUCUUCCUUAGAGCCUUCAGAGGGCGUGUGGCACUGCUGACACCUCGAUUUCAGACUUCUGGCCUUCAGAUUGAGGGAAUAAAUUUUUGUCAUUUUAAGCCA